rnacentral:rRNA from 1 species
CCUACGGGGCGCAGCAGUGAGGAAUAUUGGUCAAUGGGCGGGAGCCUGAACCAGCCAAGUCGCGUGAGGGAAGACGGUCCUAUGGAUUGUAAACCUCUUUAGGCGGGGAGCAAUGCCGGGCACGCGUGCCCGGAGGAAGAGUACCCGCAGAAUAAGCAUCGGCUAACUCCGUGCCAGCAGCCGCGGUAAUACGGAGGAUGCGAGCGUUAGCCGGAUUUGUGGGGUUUAAAGGGUGCGUAGGCGGAUGUUUAAGUCAGCGGUAAAAUGUCCGGGCUCAACCCGGGCCGGCCGUUGAAACUGGGGAUCUUGAGUGGGCGAGAAGUAUGCGGAAUGCGUGGUGUAGCGGUCAAAUGCAUAGAUAUCACGCAGAACUCCGAUUGCGAAGGCAGCAUACCGGCGCCCGACUGACGCUGAGGCACGAAAGCGUGGGGAUCGAACAGGAUUAGAUACCCUUGUAGUC